rnacentral:lncRNA from 1 species
UUGCCGUGGGUUUGCAAGAUGGAGGACCUCAAAAGGAUUUUGUUCUCGUAGGUGAAGUAUCUCGUGAGGUUAAAGUGCUGUGCUGCGAGCUCAUGAGGUGUUGGCAUAACAAUUGCCCUUAAGUCGAAGGGAAUGUUAUACAAUGGCCUUGCCUAAGACGUGAUUAUGUGGGACCUAUGUCUUACCCUUAUAGAUGUGGUCUUAGUUGAUGCAAUUGUCACGGACUGCGGAUCAAAGCUCGAAAUCGUUGCGCAC